rnacentral:tRNA from 1 species
GCGCCUUUAACUCAGCUGGAUAGAGUAACUGCCUUCUAAGCAGUAAGCCGCUGGUUCGAAUCCAGCCCGGCGCGCCA